rnacentral:rRNA from 1 species
AGAUUGAACGCUGGCGGCAUGCCUAACACAUGCAAGUCGAACGGGAGUAGCGAUACUCUAGUGGCGGACGGGUGAGGAAUACGUAGGAAUUUGCCCUUAAGUGGGGGAUAACCCGGGGAAACCCGGAUUAAUACCGCAUGACCUCGAAAGAGCAAAGUGGGGGAUCGCAAGACCUCACGCUUUUGGAGAAGCCUACGUCGGAUUAGCUAGUUGGUGAGGUAAUGGCUCACCAAGGCGACGAUCCGUAACUGGUCUGAGAGGAUGAUCAGUCACACCGGAACUGAGACACGGUCCGGACUCCUACGGGAGGCAGCAGUGGGGAAUAUUGGACAAUGGGCGCAAGCCUGAUCCAGCAAUGCCGCGUGUGUGAAGAAGGCCUUCGGUUGU